AUCUGGCUCAUAACCACUCUGUUGAGUUAUAUGCAAGAGCUUAGAUGCCUUCCUUGGAUCGUUUUCAACGCAAUACCCAUUGAUUACAGAGUACAUUAGUCUGGUUGGAGUUUCACCCAACAAAACCAUAGAAAUGAGGAAGUUUUCUGCUCCUGCUUUUUGUCCAAGUUGGCAAAGUUUCUGGAUAAGCACGUCCAAGGUCCGUAUACUUGGUUUAAGAUACCUAUGCAAUAUCUCUGUGAAAAUCCAAAGCUUCAUUCAGUUAAUUACUUAUGCAGAGAUCAUGGAUUAGAGAAUCAUAACUAGCAGAAUUAGGAACAAUUCCUUUCUUCAACAUUAUGUUCA
rnacentral:misc_RNA from 1 species